GACCCAGACUCCUACGGGAGGCAGCAGUGGGGAAUAUUGCACAAUGGGGGAAACCCUGAUGCAGCGACGCCGCGUGAGUGAAGAAGUAUUUCGGUCUGUAAAUCUCUAUCAGCAGGGAAGAAAUAGCGACCUUUGGGUCGCCAGACGGUACCUGAUUAAGACGCCCCGGCUAACUACGUGCCAGCAGCCGCGGUAAUACGUAGGUGGCAAGCGUUAUCCGGAUUUACUGGGUGUAAAGGGAGCGUAGACGGCAGCGCAAGUCUGAGGUGAAGUGCCGGGGCGUAACCCCGGAACUGCUUUGGAAACUGGUCAGCUAGAGUGCAGGAGAGGUAAGUGGAAUUCCUAGUGUAGCGGUGAAAUGCGUAGAUAUUAGGAGGAACACCAGUGGCGAAGGCGGCUUACUGGACUGUAACUGACGUUGAGGCUCGAAAGCGUGGGGAGCAAACAGGAUUAGAUACCCGAGUA
rnacentral:rRNA from 1 species